AGCAGCCGCGGUAAUUCCAGCUCCAAUAGCGUAUAUUAAAGUUGCUGCAGCUAAAAAGCUCGUAGUUGAAUUUCGGGGUCAAUAUGUUGGUCGUGCCUUGGUACGUACUAGCUUAUUGAUUUCUCCUUUCUGACGAACCAUGAUGUCAUUAAUUUGGUGUCAUGGGGAAUCAGGACUGUUACUUUGAAAAAAUUAGAGUGUUUAAAGCAGGCUCGCGCUUGAAUACAUUAGCAUGGAAUAAUGAAAUAGGACAUUUGAUUCUAUUUUGUUGGUUUCUAGGAUCGAUGUAAUGAUUAAUAGGGAUAGUUGGGGGCAUUAGUAUUCAAUUGUCAGAGGUGAAAUUCUUGGAUUAUUGAAGACUAACUACUGCGAAAGCAUUUGCCAAGGAUGUUUUCAUUUAAUCAAAAACGAAAGUUAGGGGGAUCAAAGAACGAUCAGAUACCGUCGUAGUCUUAACCAUAAACUAUGCCGACUAGGGAUCGGAUGAUGUUAAUUUUUUAAUGACUCAUUCGGCGCCUUA
rnacentral:rRNA from 1 species